AUACAUGCAGUCGAGCGGAAGGUUCUUCGGAACCCUAGAGCGGCGCACGGGUGAGUAACGCGUACGCAAUCUGCCCUUAAGAGAGGGAUAGCCCUGGGAAACUGGGAUUAAUACCUCAUAUAGUUUAUUGGUUGCAUAGCUGAUAAACGAAAGCUCCGGUGCUUAAGGAUGAGCGUGCGUCUGAUUAGCUAGUUGGUAGGGUAACGGCCUACCAAGGCGAUGAUCAGUAGGGGGCGUGAGAGCGUGGCCCCCCACACGGGUACUGAGACACGGACCCGACUCCUACGGGAGGCAGCAGUAAGGAAUAUUGGGCAAUGGAGGCAACUCUGACCCAGCCAUCCCGCGUGAAGGAUGAAGGCCCUAUGGGUUGUAAACUUCUUUUGUUUGGGAAGAAAUCAGGACAUUCAUGUGCUGUUGACGGUACCUUACGAAUAAGCACCGGCUAACUCCGUGCCAGCAGCCGCGGUAAUACGGAGGGUGCAAGCGUUAUCCGGAAUCACUGGGUUUAAAGGGUGCGUAGGCGGCUAAAUAAGUCAGAGGUGAAAGCUGGCAGCUCAACUGUCAAACUGCCUUUGAUACUGUUUGGCUUGAAUCAGGUUAAGGUAGGCAGAAUGUGGCAUGUACCGGUGAAAUGCAUAAAUAUGCCAUAGAAUACCAAUUGCGAAGGCAGCUUGCUGGGCCUGAAUUGACGCUGAGGCACGAAAGCGUGGGGAUCAAACAGGAUUAGAUACCCUGGUAGUCCACCCCCUAAACGAUGUUAACUCCACAUAUGGUCUUCGGAUUGUGUGUCCAAGCGAAAGCGUUAAGUUAACCACCUGGGGAGUACGUUCCCAAGAAUGAAACUCAAAGGAAUUGACGGGGGUCCGCCCAAGCCGGGGAGCAUGUGGGUUAAUUCGAUGAUAC
rnacentral:rRNA from 1 species